AUCUGAUUAUUUAAAAACAAAUGGUGCUUUUAUUUUGUAGAAACUCAAACAAUGUUUUUAAAUGGACUUUGUACUGGGUUUCAUGAGAAUGGAAAGGCUAGAACUUUGUGCUUAAAGGACUUUUUCUGGAUCCUCUUUCACAAUUAUGUACAGUACGAACAGGCUGGUGUGUCAUCUGUUGGAAAAUGCUGCAUGUUGUUAGAUGAGACCUCAGGAGAGUUCCUUACAGUUCUACCCUGUGCAAUUCAAGUUGUAUUGCUGCAUUCUUGAUGUAUAGUUGUAGCUGUCAAACUAUUCAGACAUCUAUCACAGAAUUACUGUUAAUAAGAAAUAGCUUUGAAUUAAUUUUGGUUUACUCUUGUCCUAUUUGUACUUCAAAAAGUAGUCAUGGCUGCCUUAUCUUGUGCCACUGCCACUGUCAGGCCCAUGGUAGUUGCGAAGGAUUGCAGACACACUGGGAAGGAAAACAGUCUUCAUGGUUGUGGAGCAGCUCUUGUGGCCAUUGUUUUUCCAGAAUUCCUCAAAACAGAGCCAGUUCGUCAUGCAUGCCCAGGCUGUCACAACCAUGCCAGCAAGCUUACAGGGCCUGAUAUUGCUCUGCCUCUGUGCCUUCUCUGAUGCCAAAUGUUGUUGAGUACCCAGGAGACAUGCAGCUAUCUAUUUUACAUCUAAAGCAGUUUAUUAUCCAAAUGAGGGAAAGGAAGAAGAGACAGAAGAUAACAAGAUCAUUACAUAUAGGCUAGCUGUGCACAAAUAUAAACAGCUCCUGUGUAAUAAUGUGAGUUAAAGACCAGUUACAAGCAUGUAAGUUCAGCCACUUAAAGCCAUUAAGAAACAGUGUAAUCAUAAGGAGUUUCAAAGUUGGAAGGGCCAAAUUCACUGGAAGUGGAUACAGGUAUCCACACUGCUGUUCUUGUUUCCUUAGGCCACAGAGAAGCUCUUUCUCACACUGCAAAGGGCUUUCCAGUUGUCUGAGAAAACUCAAUUGUCUAGAGCAGGUGCUCAAGGACACCAUCCAAAGAGCCUCAGAUUUUUUCAAGUGACUGUAUAGCAUCUAGCAAUUUGUAGAUGGGUCUCAGGUUAAUGGUACUGGAGCUACUGGAGAAGCUGAUGACACCUUCCUUUCCUUUUGAUUAAUCAGCUAUUCAGUGAGGGUGUGGUUUAUCUCCUUUGCUUGUUCUCGAUUUGUUUUUCCAGUGGCCCAUUCCUCAAAAGUUUCAGUUAUCCUUUUGCUUUGAUGCUCUAUAUAUGGACCAUUUUCAUAAAUACUGUGUAUAAUGUGUUUCCCUUGGAUGAUCUUCACAGUUCAAAGAUUGAAUGGAUGUGCCUUUCAAGGCAGCUGAAGAAGGAGCUCCAGUAAGGGCUAUAAAUGCCAAACUAGUAGUAUAUAUUAUUGCUCAUUAAUAAUUCUUGAAAGGAGUUAAUAUGAAAUUGUGGUUUCAAUAAAAUAUGAGUAAAUUACUAUGAAAAGGAGAGUGGGUAUUCCUCAUGAUGACCUCUUCCUAAUGAAGUCUGGCAAUAGUCCUAGGAAAAUCUUAUGAAAUAUGGGGAGAUCAUUUAACAUAGAUGGACUGUGCUAAACGAAGACCACAAAGGACUGUAGGCUGAGACAAAAGCCCCAAAGCAGGGAAAGCUCUACUCAUAAAACAUAGCUUUAGCAAGCUGGUUCCCAAAACAAACCAAAGAAUCAAA